GAAGACAUGAGCUCUUACUUUGAGCAAAGGGAAGCACCAUGGAAGCUGGAGCAAGAUGGCCUGAGGAACUGCUGUCCAGGUAGCAAGCCAGCUGUUAUGGCCUCCUCUUUCACCCUCAUCAAGAAGCUUCUUAAUUCCUCUUCACUUUCUGCCCUUGAAGUGGUACCAUCUGCAUAUCUGCGAUUGUUGAUAUUUCCUCUGGCAAACUCAAUUCCACUUUUUGAUCCCUCCAGCCUGGCCUUUCACAUGAUGUAUUUUGCAUACAAUUAAAUAAAAACAGGUGACAACA